rnacentral:lncRNA from 1 species
AAAUCAAAAUAAAAGUAAAAGUAAGAAGAUGGAAAUUUGCUUAGCUGUGAAAGGAAAGGCGAUCUGUCUGAUGUCCUGUGUUUGGUGCCUAGGUGGGCUUGGUGCUUGCAUUUCCUGCGUUGCAGUGUCAGGAUUUUUCAGGGAUCAGCCUUGGCACUGGAGACCUUCACAUUUUCCAUCUGGUUACUAUGGCACACAUCAUACAGAUCUUACUUACCUCAUGUACAGAAGAGAAUGGCAUGGAUCAAGAAAAUCCCACUUGUGAAGAAGAAUCAGCAGUUCUUGCUUUGUAUAAAACACUUCACCGGUAUACGGGAAGUGCCUUGAAAGAAAUACCAUCCGGCUGGCAUCUGUGGAGGAGUGUCAGAGCUGGAAUCAUGCCUUUCCUGAAGUGUUCUGCUUUAUUUUUUCAUUACUUAAAUGGAGUUCCUUCCCCACCCGACAUUCAAGUUCCUGGAACAAGCCAUUUUGAACAUUUAUGUAACUAUCUUUCCCUACCAAACAACCUCAUUUGCCUUUUUCAAGAAAAUAGUGAGAUAAUGAAUUCACUGAUUGAAAGGUA